AUUGAACGCUGGCGGCAUGCUUUACACAUGCAAGUCGAACGGUAACAGGUUAAGCUGACGAGCGGCGAACGGGUGAGUAAUGCAUCGGAACGUGCCCAGUCGUGGGGGAUAACGCAGCGAAAGCUGCGCUAAUACCGCAUACGAUCUGAGGAUGAAAGCGGGGGACCGUAAGGCCUCGCGCGAUCGGAGCGGCCGAUGUCAGAGUAGGUAGUUGGUGGGGUAAAGGCUCACCAAGCCAACGAUCUGUAGCUGGUCUGAGAGGACGACCAGCCACACUGGGACUGAGACACGGCCCAGACUCCUACAGGAGGCAGCAGUGGGGAAUUUUGGACAAUGGGCGAAAGCCUGAUCCAGCAAUGCCGCGAGCAGGAAGAAGGCCUUCGGGUUGUAAACUGCUUUUGUACGGAGCGAAAAGGUCUCCUCUAAUACAGGGGGCUCAUGACGGUACCGUAAGAAUAAGCACCGGCUAACUACGUGCCAGCCGCCGCUGUAA
rnacentral:rRNA from 1 species